CCUACGGGAGGCAGCAGUGAGGAAUAUUGGUCAAUGGACGAGAGUCUGAACCAGCCAAGUAGCGUGAAGGAUGAAUGCCCUAUGGGUUGUAAACUUCUUUUAUCAGGGAAUAAAAUCUUCCACGCGUGCGCUUUUGUAUGUACCAUAUGAAUAAGGAUCGGCUAACUCCGUGCCAGCAGCCGCGGUAAUACGGAGGAUCCGAGCGUUAUCCGGAUUUAUUGGGUUUAAAGGGAGCGUAGGUGGAUUGUUAAGUCAGUGGUGAAAGUUUGGGGCACAACCGUAACAUUGCAGUUGAAACUGGCAGUCUUGAGUACAGUAGAGGUAGGCGGAAUUCGUGGUGUAGCGGUGAAAUGCUUAGAUAUCACGAAGAACUCCGAUUGCGAAGGCAGUUCACUGGACUGCAACUGACACUGAGGCUCGAAAGUGUGGGUAUCAAACAGGAUUAGAUACCCCAGUAGUC
rnacentral:rRNA from 1 species